CUGGCCGUCUUCUCCUCUCCUCUUUAUGCCAUCGUCUUUGCCCUCUGUUCUGUAUGUUGAGUUGGUUGAUUCUUAUUGUUGCUCUGUGCAUGUAUAAUUCGAUUCGAUUCGAUUGUUAUAAGCAAAAGCAGGGAUUGUGUGUAUCGGCGUAGUGCUACUCAAUGCACUCUGAUCCGAAAGAUUUCCCUGCAAUAUCCAUUUGGGGAAGGUGGGCAGUUGAGUUUCAUUUUAACCCAUUGAAAUCCUCAACAAUCAUCUUCCCCACAUCU
rnacentral:lncRNA from 1 species